CACGAAAAGAGUUGUUCCCCCCUCUCAGCGUCUCUCUUGCCGGCCAUCCAGCUCGGUUCAAUGGGGACACUCAGGCUGCAGACUGCGCCGUGCGCCGCCGAUGAACCAGAUGCGUCAAGUUCAGCUGAGGAAUGGAAGCUCCAGUCCUACUGUGAACCUGGACACCAGAAGCGAGUGUAUUGAAUGGUGGUUAAUCUGUAUUGACAGCUACUGAAGUGGACAUCACAAUAUCCAAAACUCCAGUGACAUGGUGCCGAGCAGCAACUGUCAAACUUUAACAAAAACACACUAAAAAAUCAAAAUGUUCCAGUAAAG